rnacentral:lncRNA from 1 species
GCCAUUUGUGAAGGACUGGAAAAGGAAAAUGUCCUGAUGAUGCCAAAAAUAAUAAUAAUAGGGGAAUGAAAUCUUUAAACUUCAGGCCAGUAAACUUAACUUUGAUUCCAGACAAAUUUUUAGAACUUAUUCUUAGAGAUGUUAGUUAACCUUUAGGAAAGAAAGAGGUGAUCACUAAGAGCCAGGAUGGCUUCAUCAGUAGCAAAUUAGUCCAGCUUAACCUUAGGCCCUUUGUUUGGAUAGGAUUAAGAAAUUGAUGGCUCUGGCAAAUUAUAUAUAUACAUAUAUAUAUGCAUAUAUACAUAUCUAUGAUAUGUAUUAGUUUUAAUUAAGCAUUUGAAACAAUCACUCAUAUUGCUUUGAAGAAGAUGGAGAGAUAUAUUCUACACAAUAGUCACUUGUAUUGCUAAGUCUAAGCAGAUUAUGAUAAUGAAACCUAUUUUCUUGGCUGUCAUAAACAGAUGAUUGACUUAGGUACUCAAUAUCUUCAAAAGAAAUGAGGCAUGAAGAGAUACUAGGUAUAUGGCUUAAUGCCCUAGGCCAUCAAAUAAACAUCAUUGUGGAAAAGGAAUGCUUCAGAUGUUUAGAGUGAAGGUUUCUGAGUACCUAUCAGUGAUGGGCUUCUUCUGUCUUCUCAUCUCAAGUAAAAAAGUAUUUGCUCAUUUUCUCAACAGAUGGCUGCUGAAUGCCUACUAUGUACUCAUUCUACACUACGUGUUGAAAUCUAAAGGGAAGUGUAAGAUAUAA